GGUUCCUUACUUUAAUCUACGGUCUUGUCUCCUAUGGGACCCUGUGGAGUUUCACUGCAUCUGCAUGUCUCAUUUUUCCCAUCUGUAAAGUGGAGAUGACAACACUGAUCUCUUUAAUUAUUUUAUAUGCAAUAUCCACUAAUUCAUUAAGGUGUGUACAGGCUGCUGAAACUUACAUAUGGGUGUGAAAGUAAGGAGAUGCUACUGGGCUAUUUCCUUGAAGCUUUACUCUGCAGGGACUUAUGCGAGUCCAUGAGAGCUGCUGUAUUCAGGACUUUGCAGAUGGUUGCAUGAAAGCAAAUCACCAGCAUGACAGUAGUACGUGCUAGGGUUUCCUCUUAAGCAAUUUCCCCAGACAAUGUGGAGGAAGAGACAAGAAGAAAAGUGGUAAUGAACGGAGUCUGGAGCUGUUCCCAUCUCUGUAAGCUCAUGUGUCUACACAAGAGGCAGCAGAAUACAGAGGCAGCCUGGGUGGAGAGAUGCUCCCUGCUUUCCUACUGCACUGAACACGGGAGAAAAGCCUCAAACAGAAGUGAGUAGGGGAUGAUGGGAAACUCCUGGCUAUUCCACCCCCAAACUCCUGUCAAGAUUCAGUCUUGGGAACAGAGGACUCCAUUCUGCAGCAUCUGAGGAGGUGCAUUCCUGUCCCCCUCAGCAGGACUUGUGCUGCUGUGCCUAGCCAUCUGUUGGAGCUGUACCACUCUUCCCCAGGAUACUCAUCCCUGAAGGCUGCCCUGUGGAGAAUUAGCUAGGAAAUAGGAGAAGCUACCCAUCACAGGAAAAAAAAUCCUCAGAAAGUGGUGGGAAAACUGGAGGAUAAUAGCAGCUUCUAUUACCAAGUACAAUGGAAGUUCCUGUACAAAUACUCUACGGCAAUGGGAAUGGGAAGAAGGAAAGAGAACAGUAAAAGUGAAUUCUAACCUCUGAUGCCAGGAAAUGACUCAAUAAAUCAACAGUACUUUGAUCUGCAGAAUUAUGGGAUUUCUCUUCACGAUAAGGAAAAAAUCCAGACAGACCUCUUCAGUGUCUAUAAAAGUCUGUAAAUGACCACAGUCUGCAGUUGGAAAAGCCUGAUGACUGGCAAGAGACCCAGUGAGGACUGAAUAAUCAAGCUGUGCUAUUAAAAGGUUGUAUCUUCAUAAAGACCUGCAUUUAUGAAGAUUCAGCGUGCCUGCAAUACUUUGGAUGAAGAAGGGUGGGUUGACAUGCCUGAUGAGACUGGAGUGGAUUCAGAAAGGCAGAGCUAUAUCCUCAAAAAUUCACAGGUGAGACAUCUAACACAUUGAUCUUGGUGAGUGAAAAAUGAAUCUAUGAUGUAUUUGACUUAGCUCACAUGGUCUGGGGAGGUAAUACGAAGCUGCAGGAGCAAUGUGUGUGGAAUAUGGUUAUGAACUUCCCUGCAUCAGCCACAUCCAUCUCCACAUGGCUCAGCUAAAAAUUCAACCAGUCCUUUUUUCAGAAAUAUCUGGGGGAGAAUUGAAGCUGCAUGGU